rnacentral:rRNA from 1 species
GGAUGAACGCUGGCGGCGUGCCUAAUCCAUGCAAGUCGAGCGAACAGACGAGGAGCUUGCUCCUCUGACGUUAGCGGCGGACGGGUGAGUAACACGUGGAUAACCUACCUAUAAGACUGGGAUAACUUCGGGAAACCGGAGCUAAUACCGGAUAAUAUAUUGAACCGCAUGGUUCAAUAGUGAAAGACGGUUUUGCUGUCACUUAUAGAUGGAUCCGCGCCGCAUUAGCUAGUUGGUAAGGUAACGGCUUACCAAGGCAACGAUGCGUAGCCGACCUGAGAGGGUGAUCGGCCACACUGGAACUGGGACACGGUCCAGACUCCAACGGGAGGCAGAAGUAGGGAAUCUUCAGAAAUGGGCGAAAGCCUGACGGAGCAACGCCGCGUGAGUGAUGAAGGUCUUCGGAUCGUAAAAAUCUGUUAUUAGGGAAGAACAAAUGUGUAAGUAACUAUGCACGUCUUGACGGUACCUAAUCAGAAAGCCACGGCUAACUACGUG